UGCUGGUCGAAGCCGGCACUCUGAAUGUAACAUUAUUUACACAACCUGGAGCGAUUCUGUCGGCGGUAAAUCGCUUGAAGACGUGAUUUUAUCUGAGGAGAUGUAACUUUUUAAAGUUUUCACCUGUACUGCUGGUAGAUAUAAUGAUGCCGAAGUUUUGUUUUGUUUUGUUUUGAAGUUUCGUGGAUAUCAUCAUUGAAUCUGCCCCAGCAGUAGUUUAGACUUAAUUUGUAACGCGAAACAUCAAAUGUCAUCCAAACUUCAGUUUCACAUUUUUUGCCUCCUACGCCCAACAGUUCUGUGGCCGACCACCGUUACAGGAGAACAGGAUUGUGGGUGGGGUGGACGCCAAAGAUGGAUCCUGGCCCUGGUGGAUAUACAGACAGACACUGAUGGUCAUAUCUGUGGAGGCUCCAUCAUCUCAGAGAACUGGGUCCUGUCAGCCCCUCAUUGUUUCCCCAAGUAAGAACAAGGUCUUCACACUGAAAAAUCAUUAGAUGGAUUUUCAGUUGCGCGCCAAUCCACAGGUGUUCUGCUUCUUAUAUGCGAUUAUGGAUGUAAUGUUAAUUUUCUCACUGUGAUGGUCAUGAAUGACUGUAGAGGAAACACUGGGAUUUGAUAUUCAGUAUUUUUCCAGUUUUGGGAAUCAGUGUUUCAUUUGUGGUUUGUAGUAAUAACUACAGAUGUCCAGUAAAUGUAGUGCAGUAAAAGUACAAUAUAUGCAUCGAAAAUGUAGUGGAAGUGUUGAGUAAAAUUAAAACAAGUUGUUACUGAUAAUGAUUGUUGUAUUUGCUAAAUGAUAAUCACACGUAAAGGGAUCUUGAUAAGUGGUUGAAAUGUAUGUAAUUCCACACCAGCUGACUGAAUGUGCACUUAUCAGUUGAAUGUACUGUAUUGUAAACCUUGUGGGUGUGAAAUGAAACCAGACAUAACAGUGAAAUCAUGUGACUAAAUAUGCAACAAUUAAAAAUGCAGUAAAACGUAGUAGUCGAACAUAGUGGGAUACAUCAGAAAAGGUCAGACUCAAGCUACUGGUGUAUUCUGAGGGAAAAACCUUGAAUAUUGUUGAAAGACUUUAGGAAAUGUUGGUGUCAGGUACAGCCUGGAUUCCAGAGGAAAAGGACGGAGGGGUAUGCCAAAGAAAAGUACCAGUGUCAACAAAGUUGCGGUAUAGCUAUUGGAUGAGACCCCGAGGCAAUGGAAGGAGUUGGAUAUUUCCACUCCUAGUUUUUUGGUAUGAAAAAAGACUCCCAAUGCUCAAUGUCAAAUCAUUCCUCUUAAACUUUGUCUGUGUAUAUUGUCUUGGGUUUUGUUGCUGGCAAUAAAACUCCACUGCACUCAGC